rnacentral:rRNA from 1 species
GACGAACGCUGGCGGCGUGCCUAAUACAUGCCAGUUGAGCGAUGAAGCUUGGUGCUUGCACCAAUUUGAAGAGCAGCGAACGGGUGAGUAACGCGUGGGGAAUCUGCCUUUGAGCGGGGGACAACAUUUGGAAACGCUAAUACCGCAUAACAACUUUAAACAUAAGUUUUAAGUUUGAAAGAUGCAAUUGCAUCACUCAAAGAUGAUCCCGCGUUGUAUUAGCUAGUUGGUGAGGUAAAGGCUCACCAAGGCGAUGAUACAUAGCCGACCUGAGAGGGUGAUCGGCCACAUUGGGACUGAGACACGGCCCAAACUCCUACGGGAGGCAGCAGUAGGGAAUCUUCGGCAAUGGACGAAAGUCUGACCGAGCAACGCCGCGUGAGUGAAGAAGGUUGUCGGAUCGUAAAACUCUGUUGGUAGAGAAGAACGUUGGUGAGAGUGGAAAGCUCAUCAAGUGACGGUAACUACCCAGAAAGGGACGGCUAACUACGUG